GUUUUUUGUAUUUGUAUUUUUACAAAGAUCAUACAUUUUUUAUAUUACGUAUAUAUCGCUUGAUGGUUCCCUUGGACUUUAAACGAAUCGUAAGAAAUUAUAAGACGUAGAAAACUAUUAUUUCUAUACGCAUACAAUUCUUUUUUUUUAUUUUUUUUUAUUUUUAUUUUAAGACAUGGUAAUUCUCUUGUCCAACGGCAAGUUUACCAUUAGUGGCAAGGUCGCCAUAACGGUACAUUUUUCUGUAGAAUCCAUUAACGCACCGAAGAGAUUGAAAUAAUCAUUUGCUUUAGAAUCGUCACCUCGAUAUGCGAAUUUUACAUAUAUACAGCGGCAUUUAUUGAUUUAGAUUGUAUUCUUUUCCGUAUACAAGAAGUGGCGAAAACGCAAGAUCUGCGAUUUCUUUUAUUCAAGUAUGCGAGCGAUGUCACGUCGCGAAGAUACGAUGCGUUCGAUAAAUCUUUUCCCUUUCUCGAGCACGUUGAAACCGGAAAAAGAGGAAAAAGAGCGAAAACCAGAGUGCGAACUUUUACCGUAAUCUCUGGCAAUCAAUGCCGCCUUCUUUGUUCGCCGCGCGCGACUCGAGUAUUCCGCGAGGUAAAACCAGUUUCUUGAGUUAGUGCUUUUGCUUAGGCUUGAAUAUGCGCGCAUACGUGCAUAAGUCAGGUUGCGGCGACGCUGCGUCAUGUAAAUCCGUGAAAAGCGAUGCAAGUACGAUGGAAAACAUUAUACUAAUAGUCGUAUUGGAAUCGUGGAAGGCUGCGAGAUAGUGAAAGGUAGUCUUCGAGGACGGGCGAAGAAGGACGAAGAAGAAGAAGAAGAAGAUGAAGAGGAAGAAAGGAGGAGGAGUAUACCGUGGGAUAAAAAUAGCACGGUACCAUGGCAAAAUAAAAACUAAUGAUACGAACCUGCAGAAUGACGAUCCCAAGAGCCAGACUUGCCGAGCAAGGAGGGAAGCAGAAGAUGCACCAAGAAGCGCGCACACACAGAGACGGAGGAAAAAGGUCGUUGCCUAAAAGAAAGAGCAGGAUUCGCCUUUGAAGGAAGAAGAGAAGCGGGAAAGCUCUGUAUUCUAACUUCUUCUCAAGAUAUAAAUUGUUUGGCAUCAUAAAUAUGACAAAUUUUCACGAUGUCUGUUGAUGAUGAAUUACCUUGUCAAUGAUAAUAACACAACAAUAAAUUGUAAAUUAACAC